rnacentral:rRNA from 1 species
UACGUAGGGGGCAAGCGUUGUCCGGAAUCAUUGGGCGUAAAGCGCGUGUAGGCGGCCUUGUAAGUCCGUUCUGAAAGCCCGGGGCUCAACCCCGGGAGGCGGAUGGAUACUGCAAGGCUCGAGUACGGAAGAGGCGAGUGGAAUUCCCGGUGUAGCGGUGAAAUGCGCAGAUAUCAGGAGGAACACCGGUGGCGAAGGCGGGUCUCUGGGCCGAUACUGACGCUGAGGAGCGAAAGCGUGGGGAGCGAACAGG